UACGUAGGGUGCAAGCGUUGUCCGGAAUUAUUGGGCGUAAAGAGCUCGUAGGCGGUCUGUCGCGUCGGAUGUGAAAAUCCAGGGCUCAACCCUGGACCUGCAUUCGAUACGGGCAGACUAGAGUUCGGCAGGGGAGACUGGAAUUCCUGGUGUAGCGGUGAAAUGCGCAGAUAUCAGGAGGAACACCGGUGGCGAAGGCGGGUCUCUGGGCCGAUACUGACGCUGAGACGCGAAAGCGUGGGGAGCGAACAGG
rnacentral:rRNA from 1 species